AUUGAACGCUGGCGGAAUGCUUUACACAUGCAAGUCGAACGGCAGCACGGACUUCGGUCUGGUGGCGAGUGGCGAACGGGUGAGUAAUGUAUCGGAACGUGCCCAGUCGUGGGGGAUAACGUAGUGAAAAUUACGCUAAUACCGCAUACGAUCUAUGGAUGAAAGCGGGGGAUCGCAAGACCUCGCGCGAUUGGAGCGGCCGAUAUCAGAUUAGGUAGUUGGUGGGGUAAAGGCCCACCAAGCCAACGAUCUGUAGCUGGUCUGAGAGGACGACAAGCACAACUGGAACUGAGACACGGUCCAGACUCCUACGGGAGGCAGCAGUGGGGAAUUUUGGACAAUGGGCGAAAGCCUGAUCCAGCCAUUCCGCGUGAAGGAUGAAGGCCCUCGGGUUGUAAACUGCUUUUGUACAGAACGAAAAGGUUUCUACUAAUACUAGGAGCUCAUGACGGUACUGUAAGAAUAAGCACCGGCUAACUACGUGCCAGCAGCCGCCGUAA
rnacentral:rRNA from 1 species